rnacentral:lncRNA from 1 species
ACAUAGUCUUUUACUUCAAAAUUCUUUAUAACCUCCCCUCCGAAACGGCCGCAAUGAAAAUAUCCUUCCGUUUCGCGGUCUUCCAGCUGAUGAUUGCAAUCUUUUCGAAACGGGCGCCCACGACAGCCACUACUCCCGAAAAACUCGAAACGCCGGCGCGGUGAAAAUUCCGUUUUUACCCCCCUUCAGGCAUCCUUUAAAUAGCGCUUCACCCCGCACUUCAUCUUCAAGCUCACGUCUCUUUUUCCAAGCGCGCGCGCCCUCUUC